AUGCCACCUUCCAUGCAAGACACGGAAGGCCUGCCGUUCAUGAAGCAUGGUUGUGUCUUCAGUGCGCACCACCGGAUGAAUGACAUGCUGGGACACGCUAUCCCUGGUUUAUGCCGCUUGAGCUUGGAUGAGUCUCAUUCAUGUGGAACCGGACUAGAAAGAUGCAACAAUGAUUCCCAUUGCCCACCGCUAUGGAUCAUGCCAUCCAUGAAGAACACCUGGGACUGGAACUUGGAGGAGGACAUCAGACGCAAAUGCGCUGGCCUUCAUGAUUCCGGGACCUGGAAUCAUACCAGCCGAUGGUUGAAGAAGGAUUGGCCGGUGCUGCCGGCUGGCGUCAAGUUCGAUCCCACGGAUCAGGAGCUGAUCGAGCACCUUGAGGCCAAAGUGAGUGCUGACAGCGCGACAUCUCACCCUCUCAUCGAUUUGUUCAUACCAACCAUCGACAGUGAGAAUGGCAUAUGCUACACCCAACCUGAGAAACUUCCAGGUAUCACACUGAGUGGCCUAAGGAAGCAUUUCUUCCAGUGCAAUUCCAGGGCGUUCAAAAGGGGCACAUGGACGCGUCCCAAGAUACAUUCGGAGUGCGGCAUGCACACAAUGUGGCACAAGACCUGCAAUACCUUGUCGGUGAUGGUCAACGACCGGCAGACAGGUAGCAAAAAGGUUCUGGUGCUGCACACCAACAAGAACUUCGAUCAGCAGAGGACCAACUGGGUGAUGCACCAGUACCACCUCAGGGACCUGGAGCAAGAGAAGGAGCGGGAGCUGGUCCUUUGCAAGAUUUUGUACCAGACGAACACUAGGGUCGGGAGUAAAAAGAUUAUAAGUUAG
rnacentral:rRNA from 1 species